rnacentral:rRNA from 1 species
CGCGAAGAACCUUACCUGGCCUUGACAUGUCCGGAAUCCUGCAGAGAUGCGGGAGUGCCUUCGGGAAUCGGAACACAGGUGCUGCAUGGCUGUCGUCAGCUCGUGUCGUGAGAUGUUGGAUUAAGUCCCGCAACGAGCGCAACCCUUGUCCUUAGUUGCCAGCGAGUAAUGUCGGGAACUCUAAGGAGACUGCCGGUGACAAACCGGAGGAAGGUGGGGAUGACGUCAAGUCAUCAUGGCCCCUACGACCAGGGCUACACACGUACUACAAUGGUGGGGACAGAGGGCUGCAAACCCGCGAGGGUGAGCCAAUCCCAGAAACCCCAUCUCAGUCCGGAUUGGAGUCUGCAACUCGACUCCAUGAAGUCGGAGUCGCUAGUAAUCGCAGAUCAGCAUUGCUGCGGUGAAUACGUUCCCGGGCCUUGUACACACCG